GAUGAACGCUGGCGGCGUGCCUAAUACAUGCAAGUCGAGCGAACAGACGAGGAGCUUGCUCCUCUGACGUUAGCGGCGGACGGGUGAGUAACACGUGGAUAACCUACCUAUAAGACUGGGAUAACUUCGGGAAACCGGAGCUAAUACCGGAUAAUAUAUUGAACCGCAUGGUUCAAUAGUGAAAGACGGUUUUGCUGUCACUUAUAGAUGGAUCCGCGCCGCAUUAGCUAGUUGGUAAGGUAACGGCUUACCAAGGCAACGAUGCGUAGCCGACCUGAGAGGAUGUUCGGCCACACUGGAACUGAGACACGGUCCAGACUCCUACGGGAGGCAGCAGUAGGGAGUCUUCCGCAAUGGGCGAAAGCCUGACGGAGCAACGCCGCGUGAGUGAUGAAGGUCUUCGGAUCGUAAAACUCUGUUAUUAGGGAAGAACAAAUGUGUAAGUAACUAUGCACGUCUUGACGGUACCUAAUCAGAAAUCCACGGCUAACUACGUG
rnacentral:rRNA from 1 species